UACGUAGGGGGCAAGCGUUGUCCGGAAUUAUUGGGCGUAAAGCGCGCGCAGGCGGUUCCAUAAGUCUGAUGUGAAAGCCCACGGCUUAACCGUGGAGGGUCAUUGGAAACUGGGGAACUUGAGUACAGAAGAGGAGAGCGGAAUUCCACGUGUAGCGGUGAAAUGCGUAGAUAUGUGGGGGAACACCAGUGGCGAAGGCGGCUGUCUGGUCUGUAGCUGACGCUGAGGCGCGAAGCGUGGGGAGCGAACAGG
rnacentral:misc_RNA from 1 species